rnacentral:lncRNA from 1 species
GAUACCUUGGCCAUAAAUCCGUCCUAACUUGCCAAUAUGCAAUGCUCUUUGUAUGUGCUAAGUCAGGGUGGAGAGAGUUAGCGAAGUGAGCCUUCUUUUUGUAAAAUUCUCUGUUCUGUAGAUGUAGACAAGUAUACCAAGCAUGGUGAUGUACUCUGAGGCCAAGGCAGGAGGAUUUCCAGUUUGAGGCCAGCGUGUGAUAUAUAUAUGUAUAUAUUGCCAUAUACAUAUCUGGAAAAGAAAAAGACAAGCAAACAACAAAUCAGCCACAAAGACAGGGGCAAAGUAGAUUGCUCCCUUCUCACAGUCUUUAAAAGCCUAGGGCCACAACUUGUUAACAUCAUCAUUAGGUUAAUGCAGUAUGGACUGGUUGGUCAAGAUGUAGACUCUGUGUAACAGUCAGGGGAUGUUUCCUAAGCAUUUAAAUUAGUCCUGUCUCCCAGGGUCUAGGACACUGUCUUGAGAAGGUUGUUUGGACGCCUUAACUGUUGACAGAGACUGACUCUAAUUUGGGACCCUAAUGUGACUAUUUUUCUAGGUAAGAUGUUCCUUUCUACCCAUGGAAAAAGUCAAAAUAAAAAGAGCUUACAUUUGAGCCUUCUGGUUGUUUUAAAAGGCUUCAGAUAGUUGUCAAAGACAUGAUACAAACACACUACAGAAAGCUGACAUUCGGGGCUUAUAGCCCUAAGCAGGCAGGUAAAAUGGUCCUGGCUUCCAUGUUGAAAACAUCAUUCUACCAAAGAAUUCCUUUGACUGAAGAUAUUUCUUCUUCUUUCUUCUUUUUUUCUACACUUGAUCUUAGCCAAAAGGCCGAGAAGCGAUCUCUUCUUUUUUUCUAAAUGUAAUCUUGAAAGAGUUAAAUUAGAUAUUAUAAUGAUUUGUUAGAUAGUCCUACUGAAUUUUACUUAGCUUAGACAAGGCAACUCAGAAAUAGAUACAUUGAUUGAAGUGUGUCAAAAUUGAAAUUUGUGCUUUUGGAUAGAAAGUAGGUUAGCUGUGGGCGUGGUAUGUCUUUUGGGAAAAAGCCAUUGCUUAGCAUAAGGACAUUAACUUGGGAAGAAAAUCAUGCAAAAGGGUUUAAGUUUCAAGGCAAUGAAAAUGGAAAACUUGAAGUCCUUUUUUACUCUCCGAUGAUGACUGCAUGCUUCUCUGUUGCUUAAAUGUUCUUUAGUUCUGUGACCAACAGAACUCAAUCAGACUUAAAAACAAUUCUGUUAGUUUGCUUUUGGAGUGAGGUUCUCACUAUGGAGUGCUGGCUGUCAUGGAAUUCACUGUAGACCAGGCUGGCCUCAAACUCAGAGACCUGCCUGCCUUUCCUUUGCUAGCGUUGAGAAUAAAGGUAUGCACUACGACACCUGGUAGACUUAAAAAAAAUUAAAAAUGUAUCUACUUUUUUGUGUGAAUGGGUGUUUUGCUUGCAUGAAUGUGUGUAUACCAUGUGUGCCUGGUGUCCACAGAAAGCAGAAGAGAAUGUCAGGUCCCCUGGAACUGAGGUACAGAGGACUGUGAGCUACCAUUUGGGUGCUAGGAACUCAACCUGGGUCCUCUGUAAGGGCAGCCGGUACUCUUACUACUGAACCAUCUCUCCAACUCCAGUCAGAUCUUAUAUUGUAACAACAGACUUUUACAAUGAGGGCAGUUCCUGGAAAAACCAAAGGUAUGGUUGAGGUUACUGAAAAUAUCCAUUGUGGUGGAAAACGGAGCCCUGCUGCCUUGUAAGCUGAAGUGAGGAGCCCAUUGUUACUGUGUUUCACUGAGGAAAAGGAGAUGACAAUAGACCAUUUCUUUUUGUCCUGUGACUUGUGAAAUAUCCAGAAUGCAUGGUACACAUUAUAUUUGGAAAUUUUUUUUUUUCUGGGUUGAAAAAUUUGGUAACUUGACAUUUUACAAUUUCUUUGUAAUCUAGAUUUUUAUUUAAAGUGUGACCUAAUAAAAGCCCAGACCUUAUAGAAAGGACUACAAAUCGUGAUUUGAGUCCUGGUACUCAUUUUACUCGUGACAGUGCAUCUGUAAACCUGACUUAGGGAGUUUUAUCUAACUGUGUCUGUUAGCUGUUCAUAUGAAAGUGAGAAUAAUAGCAUCCGAUUUAUAGAAAUAUAUGCUGACUUAAGCCUGACAUUUAGCACGCACUGGAUGUUUGUACUAUAUUUUCAUUCACUGAUUCAGUCUGUUUCAUCAUUUAGUUUCAGAAGAUAGGCUGGUAGAUCAUUCCGAGAGCUUAGCUGUGCAACAAGGAGACAUUGACUUAGAUCCCAAGCACCCUAUAGAAAGGCCUACCCACCUGUCCGCAUCUCUAACCUCAGUGUUAGGUGUGUGGGGUGGGCGUGGAGGAGGCAGAAGGACUCUGCAGCUCUAUGUCUACCUGCCUAGUUGGAAACAGCAAAGAGACUAAGGCAGAGGCACUAUAGAGAGUGACAACCAAUGCCCUCUGGCCAAGGGUGUACACAUAAACAUACAUGCACAUGCUACACACUCAUAUGUAUGCACUCCCCCUCCUCAAAGCAUGCAAGCAGUUGAUCAAGCAGGUGCAUUCUGUUUAUGUAAAAUUGCAGUGAAGGUCUGAGGCAGCACCUGAGCCUCAGCAAACUGGGAAGCAUGACUAGGCAAUGACAAGCAGCAGCCAGACUUUACUACUAAAUACAUUCUGACAAGCAAGGAAGAGGGACUGUCAGUUCUUAUGAUGUAUCAUAAUGCAUUGUAUUUUUGCUAUAUUUGAAGCUUAGUAGAGAUUACAUUACUUCCAGGAACAUAUUUUUAACUUCUUAAUUGGUUAUAUUAUUGUCUAAUUUUCUCGAAGACUGAAGAUGAAGAUGAGAAGUUGUAUAUUACUGUGUGUUUAAAAACUCUCAAGGAGAGUAUUUAUAAUUAAUAGAUAAUUUUGCCUGGCUGUUAUUUGACUAGCUCUUACUUACCUAAGAUUGCUUUGUUUGUAUUUUGUUGUUUGUUUUCAAACAGGGUUUGCUCUAUAGUCCAGGCUAGCCUUGAUCUCACUUCUUCUACCUCCUAUGCAUUUCCUGUUUUCUUGACUCCAGCAAGAGUUUCUUCUUCUUCCACUUAACUAGGGUUGGUGUUAGCACUGUUUUGCCUUUUCCCUUGUUUGCAUUUGGUAACCUCAUUUUUCAGAUAAAACAAACUGAGGUUAAAUAUAUACAAAUAGGAGAGCAGAGGUUGGACUCAGGUAUGUCUGAAUUGAAAACUAUUUUCUGCGUUAACUUCCCACAACAUGCUUUUUCUGAAACUAAGAAAAUGUCACUUGGGAAUUCAAGGUUAGGCUGUGAGUUUUGUGGUAAGUUGUGAUCAUGGCUGUGCAAAUUGUGAUAAAUUAGAAUUUGUAAUACAUUUAGAAAUAAUCGAAUAGUUUUGGUGUUGCUAGCUGAGGUUCCUGUGCACAGUUGGAGAGUACUAACCUAGUCAGCAGGGUGGGCUUGGCGGCUGUUCAGGGCUCUGUGUUCCUGGAUCUGUUUGCCUAUAAGCUGCUUUUCAGCUCCAAGUGCUCAUGACCGUGCAUUUUGCUGCUUCAUGAUGCAGCAAAUGCAGUCAGCCCUCCGUAUUUAUAGGUCCUGAGCUUACAGUGUCAAGCAACCUUGUAUUGAAAAUAUUUGAGAAAAAGUUCUUAGUGUAUUGAACAUAUUCAUGAUCCUCCCUGAUCACUUAUUUCCAGAACAAUGCAUCAUAACAAGUAUUUUACAUAGGAUUUACAUGGUAUUUUAUAGGAAAUCUACAAGUGACUAGAGUGUAGGGUAGGAUGUGUGUAGUUUUAUACAGAUCUUGUCCCAUUGCAUUUAGUGGACACCACAUCUGUGGGUAUACGUAUUUCUCCAGGAGUGCCCAAGGAUGAUGGUAUUUAGACUGUAAUUCAGUCUCAGAGUUUGAACUAAAGUUUUGAUGUGUUCAGUCUUGAAUAGCAUUUUUUUUUUAAAAAUUGAUACCAUGUAGCAUUUGAGUGGGAAAUCUAAUUUCUACAAUGUACUGUAAGGCAAGAAAUAAAUUACCAAAGGUGCAUUUGCUUUAAAGUUAGUUUUUAAUCAUUCUGAAAACAAAAUUGCAUAUUAUAAGAUAUUGAGAAAUAACACAUUAGGAGAAAAGAAAGUACCUAGCUUCCAGUGAGGAACACCAUCCAGGUGGAAUCUCUCCUUGAUAUAACUGAAACUUAUCAUCAGGGUUUUUAAG